AGAGACGAUGAGGUUGAUAGGUUCGGUGUGGAAGCGUGGUGACACGUGAAGCUUACGGAUACUAAUCGAUCGAGGACUUAACUAA
rnacentral:rRNA from 1 species